rnacentral:lncRNA from 1 species
CAUCUUGGACGCUGCUGGUAUUCCGUCGCUGUUACGUGUUCGCCGUCACCUGCUCCCAGGUCACCCCGGAAGUCGAGCUCCCCACGCUCGACCUGCCAGGUUUGCAUCCUUAAUUUUCCCCACACCUUUCCAAUCUAUGGAGCCUAGGAUUCGUGGGAAGGCAAGGAUUCUGGAGCUGAUUGUGAUUGUUGCUAUGGAUGGAAUAUGGAUCCAGAUGUACUGUGGCCAAGAACUGCUCUACCGCAGGAGUAGAUUGGAAAGGCUGUUGUUGCUCCUGAACGAUGCGGCUGCUGCUGCCACUACCUCUCAUCGAUUCGGGCAUGGCAAAGACCACUCAGUUGCACUACUCCAUGUGUAGCUCACUAAACUUGGAUGUGAGCAUUUUGAUGCCUCUGAAUUCAGUAAAUUCGGUACUCACCGGAGUACACUUUCAGUCAAGAGUACUUUCAAUACCGUAGGAGUACUUGUAUUGUUUCUUAGAAUAUUUGUUUGGAGUAAAUGUUGUAGUUUAACUUAAAUCAACAAAUCUAAAAAUCAUGUUUAUCAAUGGAUUGUAUGUACUGAAAUAAAUAUCUCUGAAAUCAUGUUUAUCGUGCUGUAGUAUUCUUUUUGUUAGGAUUUAGUACUCUUGCUUGGCUCAAACCAAACUGAUUCUGCUGUAGUAUUCUUUUUAUCAUGCCAGAGUACUUUGAUUGAUCUACUGGGCUCAAACCAAACUGAUUUUUAGAGUAUACUCCACGGUACUCCAUUUCAGAGCACAUUCUUGGAGUGGAUCUGCAUUUCAAAAAGUUUACAAGUGGGAGUACAUGGAGUACUACAGUUCAAAUCGAGGAGAAGAUGGUGCAUGCUCCGUGAUGAUGCCGCCGUCACCUACGACUUCCUCGACCACCACCACCACCACCACGACUUCCUCGAACAUGGUGAGUACUGAGUACUCCUCCAAUGCUUGUACUCCUAUCAAUGUUUACUGCUGUAAUCAUGGGGUACUUAGCUGCUGUAAUCAUGGCCGGAGUAAUGCAACAUUAGUUGGUAAGAAACAAUGUCAGUAUGAAACCUCUCUACGGUAACUAUUUUUUCUGUCAGGAACAGUACAAGGUUUCAGCUUUAUUUGCCCCAUUCCAUGUUUUGAAAUCAUUACCAAAUCGUAUGAAGCAUGGUAACAAUGUUCAAGCUGAUUCGGUGAAUCUGUAGGCUAAACUCUAUAUCUUACACCUCAAUGUGUGUUCCCCAAAUAUUCAGCAUUGCAAACAAACAAAUAAAAUAAAAGAUUCACUAUGGAUGAUAGUGUAAAACAAUAUAUCAUAUUUUUUUUUCCUGGGAGCAUCAUGGACCAACUUGUCAAUGUAACCUCUAUUGUAUACUACAUCUACACCCCUGUCAAUGAACAUGUGCACUAUUGAACUACCUAUGCAUCUACAUCUCUAUGAAGAUACAUAUACAACAGCAUCUUGGAUGAAUACUAUUUAUAAGGGGUCUACUUCAGUAUACACACCUUAAGUGAGUCAAUGGUGGUGAUUAAAACUUCCAUAGAACCAAGAUAAGCCUUCCAUAGAACCAAGAUAGCAUUAUCUCUCAGAUUAUCUCUUUGGCCAUUUUCUCUCUUUAGGAGAAGCACACAAAGCAGAUUUUACAAUUCAUUUCAGAUUCCACUUACACUCUACUGGGUAACUGGAAUUUGCUACUCCAAUAAGUAACAAACCACUAACUCCAUCUAAAAUUUGCAUAGCCACACUGAGUUAUAUAGAUUCCAAAUUGUAAUUAGCUACCUUGAACAAUCAUCAUUCAUGCAUGCAUAUUAUAUUUUCAAAAUUGACAUUUUCAUUCAUUUGUGGCACAAAUUUCAUGUACCAUGUAUAUAUAUACGUACAGUUCCGCGCAGCCACCAAUUGCCUGCUUGAUGCAAACCUCACGCACCUCCAUCAUCCAUGCCUCUAUUUUAUUCCUCCAUCACCCAUCAUCGCCCGGGCUGGCGUACAAUCUAGAUUUGUAACAAUAGGAAGUGGAGGAAAGGGGAGGUGUGGUUUGAAUGUGGGUGCCAGUAAUGUAUUGCACUUACAUAAUGUAUUCUGCAAGGUUUUUGAGUCGCCGCGAGCCCUGCGGCUCGGCGUAUAGUCGACGAAAGUCGCUAUAUAGUCGCCAUAAGUCGCUGUAUAGUCGCGAGUCGCCCUGAUUUUUGGAAAACGACUUGGCGAUUAGUCGGCGACUAUACAGCGACUAAUCAGCGACUCAAAAACCAUGGUAUUCUGCUUACCCACAUCAGCCAACAAAAAUAAGAAAUUGUAUCACCAGGUGUAGGUAGUAAAUAUUAAAUAGGUAGAAUAUUUUUGACAAGAGAUAUAGAAAACACAAGAAUGUACGGUGAACAAUCAAGAAAAUAUUAAUGGACCUUGUGCUUUAGAGUGGCAUGCU